CCAACAUUCCAUCUGGUAGCUGCUGGAUCUCCUGGGGAUAUGGUGGCCUGUCAGGGAUUUGUUGUUGCUCUCCAUGGCUGGCCAGUUGGGCGUUGGGGAGUGGUUUAUCAAGAAGGACCCAGAGAAUGGUGAAAAUGUCUUCAUCCUCCAUAGCUCUCGCUUUACCUCCUGGCACCUGUGUGGUCUGAAGAUUUCUCAACCCGGAGUCACAUGCUGAGCCCUAACUCCAGCAUUAUAUGAGGAACUGUUGUAAAACAGUUUCCUUCAGUAUUAAAAAUUCCAUCCUUCAGGGAAGCUGCUUAAGCAGGAAGGCAAACAACUCAGCUUCAGGAAGUCCCUGAAACUGACCAGUUUCACUAGGUUCCUCCCUGUCAAAGUAACUGAAAAAAGCUGAGAGUCACUCUCAGCCAAGUCAAGCUACAGAGAAGACUCUGAAGGCAGACCAGCUGUCUGGAAAAAGGAAAAAAAAAUCAGCUGAGUUGCCUGGAAGAGGUUUAGACCAACGGAGUCACUUGGAGAGGACACUCUCCAACCUGUUGAGCUGCCUGCAGGCUGUGCAGUGUGCUCCAGGUUCCCAGCUUUUGUGAACUGUCACCAGAGCUGAGCUGGGUGAAUAGGCUUUGGUCCUUGGGUCAUUGCUGCUCCUGUUAGUAUGCCUUCACCCAUAUUCUUGUAAGGAACCCCAAUAAAACUCUUGGCUCAUUAA